GAUGAACGCUGGCGGCGUGCUUAACACAUGCAAGUCGAACGGGAAACCUUUUAUUGAAGCUUCGGCAGAUUUAGCUGGUUUCUAGUGGCGGACGGGUGAGUAACGCGUGGGUAACCUGCCUUAUACAGGGGGAUAACAACCAGAAAUGGUUGCUAAUACCGCAUAAGCGCACAGGACCGCAUGGUCCGGUGUGAAAAACUCCGGUGGUAUAAGAUGGACCCGCGUUGGAUUAGCUAGUUGGCAGGGUAACGGCCUACCAAGGCGACGAUCCAUAGCCGGCCUGAGAGUGUGAACGGUCACAUUGGGACUGAGACACGGCCCAGACUCCUACGGGAGGAAGCAGUGGGGAAUAUUGCACAAUGGGGGAAACCAUGAUGCAGCGACGCCGCGUGAAGGAAGAAGUAUCUCGGUAUGUAAACUUCUAUCAGCAGGGAAGAUAGUGACGGUACCUGACUAAGAAGCCCCGGCUAACUACGUG
rnacentral:rRNA from 1 species